rnacentral:ribozyme from 1 species
GAUCAUUGGUAAAGGGACUUGCAUCAAAGGUUCUUGGUACAGUACAAGACAGAAGAAGCAAGUGGAAAGAGCGAAAGGCGAAUGCCAAAGAAGAAAAACCAGAAUCUCCAAGGGAUAC